rnacentral:lncRNA from 7 species
AAAGCCAGGUGAUGACAAGGUAACCUGUUAUAAGUAUGGAAAUGAGCAGCUAGCUCAGUGGGUUUCUAGCCUGAGAGGGUUCCAAAAGGCAGCCUAGCUCUAGAAUUUCAAUGGUCUGGGACCUGGCUGCUAAGCCACCUUCUGAGUAUUCAGCAAGAAGAGAAGACUCUGGUGCUGGGGGAGAGCAAAGUAUAUAGCUGAGCCUUGGCCUUGCUUCCAUACCUUAGCAAUUCACCUUCUGAUAAACACUUGAGCUGCUAUGAAAACAAGCAUCCAGCAUCCAUCCAUCCACAUCCCAGGGACGUAACACAGAUCACCAACGAUGGAAGAUGGAUGCAGAAGUGAUGGAAGAAGUUAUACUGAUGAGUGGCACUGUGAGCCAGAGGAGCCCUGGAGCUGGGCAGCACAGCCCACUUGGCUGGAGGGCAGCCUUGCUUCUACGGAUGCUCUGCUUCUGCAGCUCUCAUUGAUGUCUGCUGAAAUAUAAUACUUCUCUGUAAUGUAACCUUGGAGAAAUAAAGGGCUUGAUACUUUUUGUUGGAGAUAAGCAUCUCCACUCAGUCACUUGACCUUAGUUGUUUAGGGGACUGCAGUUUAGUAUUCUCAGACUAAGAAAAACACAGACUGUGUCACUUUGGCUAUUUUAGAUGAUCACAGCCAAUUGAAUAUAAAGAAGCGAAGAACCACUGAAAGUAAUCUGUUCAACAGAGAUUAUUCCUGAAACAUUCAACUCCUUGUUUUUGUCACUCCUAAAAUUGUAGCCUAUUUUCACAUUAUACCAUUCUCUUUGAAAUUGCAUAAUAGGCCAGAAAUGAAAAUGAUAAACCACAUAUCAAAGCUGUAAAUCACUUCUCAGAUCAGCACCAUCCUGUGAAUUAUUUAAAUAACAAAAAGGACCCUCUGAACCCCAGGCCUCUACUGCAGGUCAGCUCUCUCAGGCAUUUUUGACUGCACAGCAUUUGUCUAAACAGAAACGUUGCCUUCUGUGGUUGCACUCAGAUUUCACAGCAGUUACAGCUUGCAGGUGAUCACAGUUUUCCCUUAAUCUUGAAGCAAGACAAAUUUGCUCUGUGAAGCAGUCACAGACUGAAUGUCCAAACUUGAAAUAGAAAUUCAUAUAUCAGACCACCAUUCACCAUGGUGCAAUGCAGGGAUAGAUUAUCUAUCUGUAACCUCAAGCUGCGCUACAGGUUUUAUAGCAUCUGCUGUCAGCUACAUUCAGCAACUAAACCAAAUUCUAAUUAAACACAGGGAAUUUAUGGUGUUUCUUCCAUGUCUGUCUUGAGACGCUGAGGCUGUAUUUCCAGGCAGCUUUGCCUGUACUUCACUUCCAGCAGGUUCCUUCUACUUUCAUGUGUCAACAUGAAAAAAAAUCCUUAGUUCUGUUCAAAUAUGAAUCCCAUUUUGAUCAUUCAGGAUUACCAGAGAAAUGCUCCAGGCUAGAGAGUGACUUCUGUAGGUAUUGUUGUCUGCAUGUCAAAAUCUAGCCAGGGUUCGAAGCAUCAACAGAUAUCUCCUGAGUACGAACUGCUUGAAAUUCAGUCAAGCAAAUAGUCCCUGCAACUCUUUCUUUUGCGUCCCAGUGAGUGCCACCUAUAAAGUUUGUUUCUCACUAAUCACUGUAUCAAUAGAUAAAUCUGCUAAUGUUGGUCAAAGACAUAAGCAGCUUUUAUCCUGCAUGGACUUCUUAGGGUCUCUGCUAGUAGCACAGUUAGAUGUCAACAGUGAAGAUCAGGGCUCUGAAGUGCCCUCUCAGUGCUGAAUUCUGCCAGGACCAGGAGGUCACUCCAGUAUCCAGUCAUUGGGGGAAAUAUUUAUGAGAAUGAUCAAGACUGGCUUAGCAUGAUGGUUAAGGGAAGGGUUGAAAGAACUGCCAAUGAGCCAGGUUAACACCUGUGUGGAGGUGCGUGCCCAAAGUGAACAAAGAUGGAUGUUACCUGUUGCCUCUGCAAUCUGAUCUGGGUUAGGGUUAUGAUUUAGGAGUUUGUCUUCCAGAGGCUGAUGAAAUUCGAGACCUAUUUGUAGAUGUUUUUAUUUUUUUAAGGCUGGAUUCAGAAUUAUUUCUAAUAGUGUUGAACUGACUUUGCAUAAUUUUGCAAAAAAGCAAAUUCUCAGCAUUAACAAAACCCCAAAGGUAGGACUAGACUAGGGAAAUCUAGAUUUAGGGUGGCAUUAAACUAGGUAUCAGAGUAAUCACAUGGUGUCAGUCAGAAGGUUCAUAUGUCUCAUUCUGCCUUAUAAAACAUCAUUGGAUGACCCAAGUUACCUGGUGAGAUUGGUUUAGACAGACCCUGACUUCCCUGUGAAUGCAAGACAGUGGGCAUGCCCCAGCUUUCAGGAUGUAGUCUCUGAUAGCCUAAGACAGGACAAGUGUUCUCUAUCCGUCAUGCCUGAAGAUCUGCUGAAAGUGUCCUUUCACGGAUGUUGAACUCAUCUGUGCUGGAACUUACAAUGUAUGCAGUGCCUUGAAAAUGAUGGAACUGCCUGGGAAAUGGUAUAAUUGUUUUAUUUUUCAGUCAGCUAGCAGAAUAGAUCGUGUCUAUAAUUUACAUAAUAACAUUCACAGUGCAUGUGGUUGUGUAGGCUUCGGCCAAUAACGUGUAGGUAACAUUGAAAUACUAUCAGUGAUCUGGGAAUGAUUUGAGUUAUAAUGUUUCUGGUCUUUAUAUCGAUGCAUUGUAGGAUUUCAAGGUAAUGUUGUCUUUAAAUCUAGUAGAGAUUCUAACAAAUUAAACUGAAUCUGGUCUACCUUUUAAACUGGUGAUUUCCAGGAUGAAAUGCAUGAUGUUGUUGUUUAUGCGUUUUCCUAUCAGAUAAUAUUAGUGGUUCCUGAAGAAAGCAGAAUUGCAAGUGAAAUUUUAUAAAAUUCAUGUGAACAG